GCUCGUUAAUGUACAUGUAGUUGUAGUCUGUUAUAUAUUAGCCAUUAUGUAAAACAAAUAAGGAUAUAAUUGUUACUGAGACAACUAUACAUUUUAUUGCAGUAUCUGUGUCAUGGAUUUCCACUGCAGAUCAAUAGUAUAGAUGUAGAACUAUGUAUCUACCAAAUUUCAAAUGAAUUGCACGGAUGUAUGCAGUUAUAGGCAAUUAUACAGUCUUCAACAAUGAGAAAAAUGAACACCUAAUGGCGUAUAUAGAUAAAAGAAGAUGUGGAAUGAGUGCCAAUUAGUCAACUCUCCACCAAAGUCACAAUUAUAGUCGGCUAUACAAUUCGCCGAUUUGAAAAAUAUGAAACAAUUGUUAAAAUUGAGAAAACCA
rnacentral:lncRNA from 1 species